rnacentral:rRNA from 1 species
AUUGAACGCUGGCGGCAUGCUUUACACAUGCAAGUCGAACGGUAACAGGCCUUCGGGCGCUGACGAGUGGCGAACGGGUGAGUAAUGCAUCGGAACGUGCCCAGUCGUGGGGGAUAACUAUCCGAAAGGAUAGCUAAUACCGCAUACGAUCUGCGGAUGAAAGCGGGGGACCUUCGGGCCUCGCGCGAUUGGAGCGGCCGAUGUCAGAUUAGGUAGUUGGUGGGGUAAAGGCUCACCAAGCCAACGAUCUGUAGCUGGUCUGAGAGGACGACCAGCCAGACGGGGACUGAGGCACGGCCCAGACUCCUACGGGAGGCAGCAGUGGGGAAUUUUGGACAAUGGGCGCAAGCCUGCUCCAGCAAUGCCGCGUGCAGGAAGAAGGCCUUCGGGUUGUAAACUGCUUUUGUACGGAACGAAACGGCUCUGGUUAAUACCCGGGGCUAAUGACGGUACCGUAAGAAUAAGCACCGGCUAACUACGUGCCAGCCGCCGCGGUAACAC